UACAGAGGUCUCAAGCGUUGUUCGGAUUCAUUGGGCGUAAAGGGUGCGUAGGCGGCGCGGUAAGUCGGGUGUGAAAUCUCGGAGCUUAACUCCGAAACUGCAUUCGAUACUGCCGUGCUUGAGGACUGGAGAGGAGACUGGAAUUUACGGUGUAGCGGUGAAAUCCGUAGAUCUACGAAGGAACGCCAAAAGCGAAGGCAGCUCUCUGGGUCCCUACCGACGCUGGGGUGCGAAAGCAUGGGGAGCGAACAGG
rnacentral:rRNA from 1 species